UGACUGCGUACCUUUUGUAUAAUGGGUCAGCGACUUAUAUUCUGUAGCAAGGUUAACCGUAUAGGGGAGCCGGAGGGAAACCGAGUCUUAAUUGGGCGUUAAGUUGCAGGGUAUAGACCCGAAACCCGGUGAUCUAGCCAUGGGCAGGUUGAAGGUUGGGUAACACUAACUGGAGGACCGAACCGACUAAUGUUGAAAAAUUAGCGGAUGACCUGUGGCUGGGGGUGAAAGGCCAAUCAAACCGGGAGAUAGCUGGUUCUCCCCGAAAGCUAUUUAGGUAGCGCCUCGUGAAUUCAUCUCCGGGGGUAGAGCACUGUUUCGGCUAGGGGGCCAUCCCGGCUUACCAACCCGAUGCAAACUGCGAAUACCGGAGAAUGUUAUCACGGGAGACACACGGCGGGUGCUAACGUCCGUCGUGAAGAGGGAAACAACCCAGACCGCCAGCUAAGGUCCCAAAGUCAUGGUUAAGUGGGAAACGAUGUGGGAAGGCCCAGACAGCCAGGAUGUUGGCUUAGAAGCAGCCAUCAUUUAAAGAAAGCGUAAUAGCUCACUGGUCGAGUCGGCCUGCGCGGAAGAUGUAACGGGGCUAAACCAUGCACCGAAGCUGCGGCAGCGAACGUAUCACCCAAGACAACUUUACGGAGUUGACGAUUGACGGAGCGAAGCGACGUCAAAGCGUUCAUUAAAGUCGAGUUGGCUUAGGGAUACGUUCGUUGGGUAGGGGAGCGUUCUGUAAGCCUGUGAAGGUGUGUCGUGAGGCAUGCUGGAGGUAUCAGAAGUGCGAAUGCUGACAUAAGUAACGAUAAAGCGGGUGAAAAGCCCGCUCGCCGGAAGACCAAGGGUUCCUGUCCAACGUUAAUCGGGGCAGGGUGAGUCGACCCCUAAGGCGAGGCCGAAAGGCGUAGUCGAUGGGAAACGGGUUAAUAUUCCCGUACUUGGUGUUACUGCGAAGGGGGGACGGAGAAGGCUAUGUUGGCCGGGCGACGGUUGUCCCGGUUUAAGCGUGUAGGUGUGUGUUCCAGGUAAAUCCGGUUCACUUUAACACUGAGGCGUGACGACGAGGCACUACGGUGCUGAAGCAACAAAUGCCCUGCUUCCAGGAAAAGCCUCUAAGCAUCAGGUAACACGAAAUCGUACCCCAAACCGACACAGGUGGUCAGGUAGAGAAUACCAAGGCGCUUGAGAGAACUCGGGUGAAGGAACUAGGCAAAAUGGUGCCGUAACUUCGGGAGAAGGCACGCUGACACGUAGGUGAAGUGAUUUACUCAUGGAGCUGAAGUCAGUCGAAGAUACCAGCUGGCUGCAACUGUUUAUUAAAAACACAGCACUGUGCAAACACGAAAGUGGACGUAUACGGUGUGACGCCUGCCCGGUGCCGGAAGGUUAAUUGAUGGGGUCAGCGCAAGCGAAGCUCCUGAUCGAAGCCCCGGUAAACGGCGGCCGUAACUAUAACGGUCCUAAGGUAGCGAAAUUCCUUGUCGGGUAAGUUCCGACCUGCACGAAUGGCGUAAUGAUGGCCAGGCUGUCUCCACCCGAGACUCAGUGAAAUUGAACUCGCUGUGAAGAUGCAGUGUACCCGCGGCAAGACGGAAAGACCCCGUGAACCUUUACUAUAGCUUGACACUGAACAUUGAGCCUUGAUGUGUAGGAUAGGUGGGAGGCUUUGAAGUGUGGACGCCAGUCUGCAUGGAGCCGACCUUGAAAUACCACCCUUUAAUGUUUGAUGUUCUAACGUGGACCCGUAAUCCGGGUUGCGGACAGUGUCUGGUGGGUAGUUUGACUGGGGCGGUCUCCUCCUAAAGAGUAACGGAGGAGCACGAAGGUUGGCUAAUCCUGGUCGGACAUCAGGAGGUUAGUGCAAUGGCAUAAGCCAGCUUGACUGCGAGCGUGACGGCGCGAGCAGGUGCGAAAGCAGGUCAUAGUGAUCCGGUGGUUCUGAAUGGAAGGGCCAUCGCUCAACGGAUAAAAGGUACUCCGGGGAUAACAGGCUGAUACCGCCCAAGAGUUCAUAUCGACGGCGGUGUUUGGCACCUCGAUGUCGGCUCAUCACAUCCUGGGGCUGAAGUAGGUCCCAAGGGUAUGGCUGUUCGCCAUUUAAAGUGGUACGCGAGCUGGGUUUAGAACGUCGUGAGACAGUUCGGUCCCUAUCUGCCGUGGGCGCUGGAGAACUGAGGGGGGCUGCUCCUAGUACGAGAGGACCGGAGUGGACGCAUCACUGGUGUUCGGGUUGUCAUGCCAAUGGCACUGCCCGGUAGCUAAAUGCGGAAGAGAUAAGUGCUGAAAGCAUCUAAGCACGAAACUUGCCCCGAGAUGAGUUCU
rnacentral:rRNA from 2 species